CCUACGGGGCGCAGCAGGCGCGAAAACUUUACAAUGCGGGAAACCGUGAUAAGGGGACACCGAGUGUCAGCAUCAUAUGCUGGCUGUCCAGGUGUGUAAAAUACACCUGUUAGCAAGGGCCGGGCAAGACCGGUGCCAGCCGCCGCGGUAACACCGGCGGCCCGAGUGGUGAUCGUGAUUAUUGGGUCUAAAGGGUCCGUAGCCGGUUUGGUCAGUCCUCCGGGAAAUCUGAUAGCUCAACUAUUAGGCUAUCGGGGGAUACUGCCAGGCUUGGAACCGGGAGAGGUAAGAGGUACUACAGGGGUAGGAGUGAAAUCUUGUAAUCCCUGUGGGACCACCUGUGGCGAAGGCGUCUUACCAGAACGGGUUCGACGGUGAGGGACGAAAGCUGGGGGCACGAACCGGAUUAGAUACCCGGGUAGUCCCAGCCGUAAACGAUGCUCGCUAGGUGUCAGGCAUGGCGCGACCGUGUCUGGUGCCGCAGGAAAGCCGUGAAGCGAGCCACCUGGAAGUACGGCCGCAAGGCUGAAACUUAAGGAAUUGCGGGGGAGCMCAA
rnacentral:rRNA from 1 species